rnacentral:rRNA from 1 species
UACGUAGGGACCAAGCGUUGUUCGGAUUUACUGGGCGUAAAGGGCGCGUAGGCGGCAAUUCAAGUCAUCUGUGAAAUCUCCGGGCUUAACUCGGAACGGUCAGAUGAUACUGCUUUGCUAGAGUGCGGAAGGGGCAAUCGGAAUUCUUGGUGUAGCGGUGAAAUGCGUAGAUAUCAAGAGGAACACCUGAGGUGAAGACGGGUUGCGGGGCCGACACUGACGCUGACAGCGCGAAAGCCAGGGGAGCAAACGGG